GAUGAACGCUGGCGGCGUGCCUAAUACAUGCAAGUCGAGCGAACGGACGAGAAGCUUGCUUCUCUGAUGUUAGCGGCGGACGGGUGAGUAACACGUGGAUAACCUACCUAUAAGACUGGGAUAACUUCGGGAAACCGGAGCUAAUACCGGAUAAUAUUUUGAACCGCAUGGUUCAAAAGUGAAAGACGGUCUUGCUGUCACUUAUAGAUGGAUCCGCGCUGCAUUAGCUAGUUGGUAAGGUAACGGCUUACCAAGGCAACGAUGCAUAGCCGACCUGAGAGGGUGAUCGGCCACACUGGAACUGAGACACGGUCCAGACUCCUACGGGAGGCAGCAGUAGGGAAUCUUCCGCAAUGGGCGAAAGCCUCACGGAGCAACGCCGCGUGAGUGAUGAAGGUCUUCGGAUCGUAAAACUCUGUUAUUAGGGAAGAACAUAUGUGUAAGUAACUGUGCACAUCUUGACGGUACCUAAUCAGAAAGCCACGGCUAACUACGUG
rnacentral:rRNA from 1 species